GAUGAACGCUGCGGCUUGCCUAAUUCAUGCCAAUCGCACCAAAAGAUGGGGAGCUUGCUCCUCUGAAGUUUGCGGCGGGCGGGUUAGUAACCCGUGGAUAACCUACCUAUUAAAACUGGAACAACUCCGGAAAACGGAUCUAAUUCCGGGUAAUAUAAUUAAACCGCUGGAUCAAUAGUGUAAAACGGUUUUGCCGUUACCUAUUGAUGUACACGCCCCGGACUAGCUAAUUGGUAAGGUAACGGCUUACCAAGGCAACGAUGCGUAACCGACCCGAGAGGGUGAUCGACCACACUGGAACUGAGACACGGUCCAGACUCCUACGGGAGGCAGCAGUAGGGAAUCUUCCGCAAUGGGCGAAAGCCUGACGGAGCAACGCCGCGUGAGUGAUGAAGGUCUUCGGAUCGUAAAACUCUGUUAUUAGGGAAGAACAAAUGUGUAAGUAACUAUGCACGUCUUGACGGUACCUAAUCAGAAAGCCACGGCUAACUACGUG
rnacentral:rRNA from 1 species